UACGUAGGGUGCGAGCGUUAAUCGGAAUUACUGGGCGUAAAGCGUGCGCAGGCGGUUCGCUGUGUCCGAUGUGAAAGCCCCGGGCUCAACCUGGGAAUGGCAUGGGAAACUGGCGGGCUGGAGUGUGGCAGAGGGGGGUGGAAUUCCGCGUGUAGCAGUGAAAUGCGUAGAGAUGCGGAGGAACACCGAUGGCGAAGGCAGCCCCCUGGGCCAACACUGACGCUCAGGCACGAAAGCUAGGGUAGCAAACGGG
rnacentral:rRNA from 1 species